rnacentral:tRNA from 1 species
GCCUUCGUAGUGUAGUGGUCAGCACGCUCGAUGAGAAUUCGAGAGGCCCGUAGUUCGAGUCUCGGCGAAGGCG